AUUCAGUGGUGGUUUUGUAGGCAAACAUUAAUGCCUUGAAUUUUAUGCGAGCAGCUAUUGUGCAUUAUUUUCGGCUCAUUAAAAAUUAAUCUUGCUGCUGCGUUCCGGAUUAAUUGUAAAGGUUUGAUAGAACUGGCUGGAAGACCUGCCAAGAGAGCAUUGCAAUAGUCCAGCCUGGACAGAACAAGAGCUUGAACAAGGAGUUGUAAAGUAUGUUUCGAAAGAAAGGGCCUGAUCUUCUUGAUGUUGAAUAAAGCAAAUCAUCAAUCAUAACUCCAAGGUUUCUGGCUGUUCUUGAAGGCGUUAUGGUGUCUAAACUGGAUGGUUAAACUGUGAUGAAUUUAUGGGUUUGAUGGAUCCACAAGGCAAGGCAAGGUUGUGUUGAAGGAAUGCAAGAAAUGUCUGUUAGACUGCUGAGAUGCGAGCAGCUACCGUCGGAUCAUCAGGAUGGAAUGAGAGGUAGAGUUGAGUGUCAUCAGCAUAGCAGUGAUAUGAAAAGCCAUGUUUCUGAAUGACAGAACCUAAUGAUGCCAUGUAGACAGAGAAGAGAAGUGGUCCAAGAGCUGAGCCCUGAGGCACCCCAGUAGUUAGAUGUUACGACUUGGACACCUCACCUCUCCAAGAUACCUUGAAGGACCUAUCUAAGAGGUCGAUGCGUCUAAGACCAGCACUCUUGAGGCCGCUGCCAAACCUGAAGAACCUCCGGCGCCAAAACCAGAGGAGAAGAAACUAGAAAAGAAAUCCACUUUUGGAAACAUGUUCAAACCCAAGGCACCAGAGCCCAAGAAGGACACUCCAGCUGCUCCUCCCGUGGCAGAAGCCGCUCCACCCGCAAAGGCCAAAGAGGAGCCGAGACCCACCACUCCUGCACAGCAAGCGGUCCCGGACAACAAAUCAGCCGACAGCACAGGGAACGCCUCCCCCAACAUGCCCCACAAGCUGGAGAAGAGGAACUCCCUCCAGCUGUUCUUCAAAAACCUGGUUAAGUAGAAACCCAGAGAUUCUCCAGGGCUAGGUAUUCCACCCACACAACUGUGGGAGCAUUCGCAAGCUGUGUAGUUUAACUCUUCAGUUGUAUGUAGUUUGCCAGUUAAAUGCUGUCGAGAAACGUUUUCUGAUGUCUAACCAUCCUGAUUAUUUCGAUAUUGCUGGCUAUUAAUCUUAAAACAGUGAUCUUUGAGGUGAGGAAUUAAAAAUACAAAAAUCAAGAUUUACAGUGUAUGACCACUAGAGGGACUCAAUUAUCAACCUAUCUAGAUUAUUCGAUCAGUUCCAUAGCAGCUUAUUUGUGUUGCGUUUUAAUAAACUGUAAUAAAUAUUUUAAAUUAUUUAAUUAAACUGGGCACUAAAAUUUAGCAUGUAAUUUUUUUUUAUUGCAUGAAAUCUCAAUCUCAUCAUCUAAUAUGUAAUUCUAAUCUUUGUUACGAUAUAUAUAACUUCUUCAUAAAUAAAAAAUACUUUUUGUCAUGUAAUAUAAUUGUAUCUAUCCACAAUUAUGGUUAUUUCAAGCGGGAUCAUCCCUGAUAAUGUAUCUCGGACAAAAGGUUGAUGACAACUAAAUGAUCUCAGAUAAUAAAGCACACAAAUUCACCAAAGCUGCGCUUUAAAGACGUGUUGGAGCAAGAUCCGCUUUUGCAAAUAAAGACCCAGUUGUCAAACGGGUUUUGCUUCAGGCACCAUUACAGACGAGCAGUAAAACCACACACUUUCUUGCUAAGUUAGGAUCACUAAUGUUGCAUUAUGCGUUGGUGUGUCUCACAG
ensembl:lncRNA